GUAGGUGGCAUGCGUUGUCCGGAAUUAUUGGGCGUAAAGCGCGCGCAGGCGGUUCUUUAAGUCUGAUGUGAAAGCCCACGGCUCAACCGUGGAGGGUCAUUGGAAACUGGAGAACUUGAGUACAGAAGAGGAAAGCGGAAUUCCACGUGUAGCGGUGAAAUGCGUAGAGAUGUGGAGGAACACCAGUGGCGAAGGCGGCUUUCUGGUCUGUAACUGACGCUGAGGCGCGAAAGCGUGGGGAGCAAACAGGAUUAGAUACCCUGGUAGUCCACGCCGUAAACGAUGAGUGCUAAGUGUUAGGGGGUUUUCCGCCCCCCUUAGUGCUGCAGCUAACGCAUUAAGCACUCCGCCUGGGAGUACGGCCGCAAGGCUG
rnacentral:rRNA from 1 species